UACAGAGGUCUCGAGCGUUAGGCGGAAUCACUGGGCUUAAAGCGCGUGUAGGCGGAUGGGGACGUCGGUUGUUGAAAUCCCCCGGCUCAACCGGGGAACUGGCACCGAAACGCCUCGUCUGGAGGGACGUAGGGGGACCUGGAACUUCCGGUGGAGCGGUGAAAUGCGUUGAGAUCGGAAGGAACGCCCGUGGCGAAAGCACUCUGCUGGGCCGACACUGACACUGAGAGACGAAAGCUAGGGGAGCAAAUGGG
rnacentral:rRNA from 1 species